AGAGAAGAUGGUCAGGAGCAAAAAAGCAUGGGAGGCCUCUAAAAGCCAGAAAAGGCAAGAGUACAAAUAAUCCUUUACAGCCUUCAGAUAGAAUGCAGCCCUGAUGGCAGCUUGAUUUUAGCUCUUGUCAGAAUUCUGACCUGCUAAAAUGGAAAAAAACCAACCAACCAACGAACUGAGCCUGAAACUGGUAACACAGAUACGUACAGCAUCAUAUUUAAGUAACCAAUCGGAAUUAUUGCAGUGGAGAUGUUUUAUUGGAACCAACUUCUUCAAAGGAGUCAGGAAUUAUUUAUGAUAGAAACUACUGAAACAAUACUAAGGAGUUCAUAGGUUGCUGAGAAGGUAGCUUCCUGCCCUCUGCUUGAGGAACACGGAUGGAAGAAAGGAGAAGAUUUGGUCAACACAGCUCCUGAAAUGCUGAUUAAGCAUUAUGGGAUUUAAGGUUUCCUGGCCAAGUCUGAGCUAAAAUGUUAACACUCCUGAAGAAC
rnacentral:lncRNA from 1 species